UACAGCCAUAUCACAUUGAAACACAGAUUCCUCUACAAUCACUGAAGUUAAGCAAUGUUGAGCCUGGUCAGUACUUAGAUGGGUGACUGCUUAGGAAUAUUAGGUGCUGUAAG